GAUGAACGCUAGCGGCAGGCUUAAUACAUGCAAGUCGAGGGGCAGCAGGGUGUAGCAAUACAUCGCUGGCGACCGGCAAACGGGUGCGGAACACGUACACAACUUUCCUUUAAGUGGGGGAUAGCCCAGAGAAAUUUGGAUUAAUACCCCGUAACAUUAUGAAAUGGCAUCAUUUUAUAAUUAUAGCUCCGGCGCUUAAAGAUGGGUGUGCGGCUGAUUAGGUAGUUGGCGGGGAACGGCCGCCAAGCCUACGAUCAGUAACUGGUGUGAGAGCACGACCAGUCACACGGGCACUGAGACACGGGCCCGACUCCUACGGGAGGCAGCAGUAAGGAAUAUUGGUCAAUGGACGCAAGUCUGAACCAGCCAUGCCGCGUGAAGGAU
rnacentral:rRNA from 1 species